CAAAACAUAGCUUAAUUGAUCAAAGCACCCGGCUUACACCCGGAAGAUUUCU
rnacentral:tRNA from 1 species